rnacentral:rRNA from 1 species
GAUGAACGCUGGCGGCGUGCCUAAUACAUGCAAGUCGAGCGAACGGACGAGAAGCUUGCUUCUCUGAUGUUAGCGGCGGACGGGUGAGUAACACGUGGAUAACCUACCUAUAAGACUGGGAUAACUUCGGGAAACCGGAGCUAAUACCGGAUAAUAUUUUGAACCGCAUGGUUCAAAAGUGAAAGACGGUCUUGCUGUCACUUAUAGAUGGAUCCGCGCUGCAUUAGCUAGUUGGUAAGGUAACGGCUUACCAAGGCAACGAUGCAUAGCCGACCUGAGAGGGUAAUCGGCCACACUGGAACGGAAACACGGUCCGGACUCCUACGGGAGGCGGCAGUAGGAAAUCUUCCGCAAUGGGCGAAGGCCUGACGAGGCAACGCCGCGUGAGUGAUAAAGGUCUUCGGAUCGUAAAACUCUGUUAUUAGGAAAAAACAUAUGUGUAAGUAACUGUGCACAUCUUGACGGUACCUAAUCAGAAAGCCACGGCUAACUACGU